rnacentral:rRNA from 1 species
CGUCUUGGUUAUUGAUGUUAGAUGCUUGCAUUUAACUGAUUUAACAUUGAGACGAGUGGCGAACUGGUGAGUAACACGUGGGUAACCUGCCCUUGAAGUAGGGGAUAACACUUGGAAACAGGUGCUAAUACCGUAUAACAACCAAAACCACCUGGUUUUGGUUUAAAAGAUGGCUUCGGCUAUCACUUUAGGAUGGACCCGCGGCGUAUUAGCUUGUUGGUAAGGUAACGGCCUACCAAGGCAAUGAUACGUAGCCGACCUGAGAGGGUAAUCGGCCACAUUGGGACUGAGACACGGCCCAAACUCCUACGGGAGGCAGCAGUAGGGAAUCUUCCACAAUGGACGAAAGUCUGAUGGAGCAACGCCGCGUGAGUGAUGAAGGGUUUCGGCUCGUAAAACUCUGUUGUUGGAGAAGAACAGGUGUGAGAGUAACUGUUCACAUCUUGACGGUAUCCGACCAGAAAGCCACGGCUAACUACGUGCCAGCAGCCGCGGUAAUACGUAGGUGGCAAGCGUUGUCCGGAUUUAUUGGGCGUAAAGCGAGCGCAGGCGGUUUCUUAGGUCUGAUGUGAAAGCCUUCGGCUUAACCGGAGAAGUGCAUCGGAAACCAGGAGACUUGAGUGCAGAAGAGGACAGUGGAACUCCAUGUGUAGCGGUGAAAUGCGUAGAUAUAUGGAAGAACACCAGUGGCGAAGGCGGCUGUCUGGUCUGUAACUGACGCUGAGGCUCGAAAGCAUGGGUAGCGAACAGGAUUAGAUACCCUGGUAGUCCAUGCCGUANACGAUGAGUGCUAAGUGUUGGAGGGUUUCCGCCCUUCAGUGCUGCAGCUAACGCAUUA